GAUGAACGCUGGCGGCGUGCCUAAUACAUGCAAGUCGAGCGAACGGACGAGAAGCUUGCUUCUCUGAUGUUAGCGGCGGACGGGUGAGUAACACGUGGAUAACCUACCUAUAAGACUGGGAUAACUUCGGGAAACCGGAGCUAAUACCGGAUGAUAUUUUGAACCGCAUGGUUCAAAAGUGAAAGACGGUCUUGCUGUCACUUAUAGAUGGAUCCGCGCUGCAUUAGCUAGUUGGUAAGGUAACGGCUUACCAAGGCAACGAUGCAUAGCCGACCUGAGAGGGUGAUCGGCCACACUGGAACUGAGACACGGUCCAGACUCCUACGGGAGGCAGCAGUAGGGAAUCUUCCGCAAUGGGCGAAAGCCUGACGGAGCAACGCCGCGUGAGUGAUGAAGGUCUUCGGAUCGUAAAACUCUGUUAUUAGGGAAGAACAUAUGUGUAAGUAACUGUGCACAUCUUGACGGUACCUAAUCAGAAAGCCACGGCUAACUACGUGCCAGCAGCCGCGGUAAUACGUAGGUGGCAAGCGUUAUCCGGAAUUAUUGGGCGUAAAGCACGCGUAGGCGGUUUUUUAAGUCUGAUGUGAAAGCCCACGGCUCAACCGUGGAGGGUCAUUGGAAACUGGAAAACUUGAGUGCAGAAGAGGAAAGUGGAAUUCCAUGUGUAGCGGUGAAAUGCGCAGAGAUAUGGAGGAACACCAGUGGCGAAGGCGACUUUCUGGUCUGUAACUGACGCUGAUGUGCGAAAGCGUGGGGAUCAAACAGGAUUAGAUACCCUGGUAGUCCACGCCGUAAACGAUGAGUGCUAAGUGUUAGGGGGUUUCCGCCCCUUAGUGCUGCAGCUAACGCAUUAAGCACUCCGCCUGGGGAGUACGACCGCAAGGUUGAAACUCAAAGGAAUUGACGGGGACCCGCACAAGCGGUGGAGCAUGUGGUUUAAUUCGAAGCAACGCGAAGAACCUUACCAAAUCUUGACAUCCUUUGACAACUCUAGAGAUAGAGCCUUCCCCUUCGGGGGACAAAGUGACAGGUGGUGCAUGGUUGUCGUCAGCUCGUGUCGUGAGAUGUUGGGUUAAGUCCCGCAACGAGCGCAACCCUUAAGCUUAGUUGCCAUCAUUAAGUUGGGCACUCUAAGUUGACUGCCGGUGACAAACCGGAGGAAGGUGGGGAUGACGUCAAAUCAUCAUGCCCCUUAUGAUUUGGGCUACACACGUGCUACAAUGGACAAUACAAAGGGCAGCGAAACCGCGAGGUCAAGCAAAUCCCAUAAAGUUGUUCUCAGUUCGGAUUGUAGUCUGCAACUCGACUACAUGAAGCUGGAAUCGCUAGUAAUCGUAGAUCAGCAUGCUACGGUGAAUACGUUCCCGGGUCU
rnacentral:rRNA from 1 species